rnacentral:rRNA from 1 species
GUGGAUUAGAUACCCGGGUAGUCCGCACUGUAAACGAUGAUUACUCGCUGCUAGAGGGCAACCUUUAGUGGCUUAGCGAAAGCGAUAAGUAAUCCACCUGGGGAGUACGCCGGCAACGGUGAAACUCAAAGGAAUUGACGGGGGCCCGCACAAGCGGAGGAGCAUGUGGUUUAAUUCGAUGAUACGCGAGGAACCUUACCAGGGCUUGAAAGUUAGUGACCGACUCUGAAAGGAGUCUUCCCGCAAGGGCACAAAACUAGGUGCUGCACGGCCGUCGUCAACU